AAGGGCGCACGGUGAAUGCCUAGGCACUAGAAGCCGAUGAAGGACGUAACGAACUGCGAAAAGCUUCGGGGAGCUGUAAGUAAGCUAAGAUCCGGAGAUGUCCGAAUGGGGGAACCCGGUGCAGGAGAUGCAUCAUUGCAUGCUGUUAAGGCAUGU
rnacentral:sRNA from 1 species